UGGUAUUGAUCAGUCUUCUGGCAUCAAAUAUUAACUUUCAUUCGUCCUGCAGGCAGAAUGUAAUGUAGGCCACAUUAUAUGACACGCACUGUCUGGGCAUCAUGACUCCACUAUAUGAACCUCAAACUCUGCAGUCAUUGUCUGCGGUCCAACAAGUCAAAGCCACUGCAUGACUACACAAUCCUCCACACAAACAAUUAUCAAAGACGACACGAGGCCCAAUAUAAUAUAUUUUGUUUCCCACAAACGUUACUAGUCAAAAAACCCUGUUGGCUGCAAUAGCUUGCAGUCCAGAAGACUUCACGCACAGUCAGACUCGCCAUGCAGCCGUGCGGAGAUAUUGAGGACAGCCUGCGCAGCGGAUGAAACAGAUGAAAAGCUUUCGCCUGGAUGUGUAUAAUCCUGUCCUCAGGACAGUCGUCAGACCACCUCGCAGAUUAUAACUCGAUUGAGGAUCACUUUCUAGGCUAUUUGAAUUACAUGAAGAGCGGCGGUGACACACACAGUUCUUCAACUGCCCUUUUCCUGACUAUUUCUGAAGCACCAAAACAACACGCAGCAGCUGCAGCCGUAGAGAAUGCCAGGAUAUGCCGCUUUUUUCUCUCGGUUUCCACUCAUGCCUGUUGCACUGUGGACGCGCUAGGAGGAGACUUGCCGCUGACAAGCAUCAAGCACAUGGUGCGUUAUUAUGAUCCACAAAUGAAGAAGAAACAAAGGCCCUGAAGCAAUCACUAUAUUGCAGCCAUGUACUGCAGAUGAAAAGCUGUUGCUUCACUCGUCUUAAAGAGAUGUGGAUCAAAGCGGGAAGAACAUGCUGAGUUUCCCAUCCAAUUUGAAAAUUGGCAGUAAGAUGGGUUUUGACUUCAGCCACAGGCACAAACAAUUUGGCCAACAAGUGAAAUCAUGGACAGACAGACUGGCGAUUGCAGCAGCAUUAAGUAACAGAUCUUCCCUCUCUGGGAUUUUUAGACGAAGGCUACCUGACAUGCUGCUGAAACCGUGAUGGAGGUUUCAUCCCCCCCCUUCGCUGCGUGUUACAGAGCAGGUGAGAAACAUUAACAGCAGCAGCAGCUGCGGCCCUCUGCUCUGCACAUGUGGGCCAGGAUAUGUGCCAGCUUAAGCUUGCCCACUGUCAACACUGGUCACUUUUGUUAACACGCUCCUUUCUGAAGCACACAAACAGUACUGAGAAAGAAGGGAUACGAUUGUAAUACAAUGAUUUACUUUUUUACAAUGAAUUGUAUCUACUUGCAACCUCACGUCACAUGUAGUUCAACCAAAGAGGGAUUUUUCAUUCACGAAAAUAUGGUCUGCUCAUUUUAAAAUGGACAAUAUUUAAUGAAAUGAACAUUUUAAUAGUUUUGAGGUUUUACAAUUUCCCAUAAAAUCCUUAUUUUGUAUUUCACAGUACCCUUUAAGUUAUUUGCUGGUCACAUUUGAAUAUGGAAAUAUCUAGGCCUUACAAUUUGUUUGGGACAUAUCCACCUUGUUGUAAUUUGAAAUCUAAAAUCUUGUAAUUUGAAUUCCCCCUGAGCUUGAGUCAUGAACCUGGGUGACCCAGUCUUCACAUUGUGUUCUGAACACACAGACUCCAGUCACACUGGUGAGGUGUCUCAGAGGAGAGUGGCAUGUGUAUUUGUGUUUCAGUGAGUCAUAACCGCUGUUUUGCAUUCAUCGAGGUGUGUCAAAGCGGAUUACCUGCAUGAACGGGGACCUGAAAUGAUUUAGUUAUUAAAGACUGUCCUUUGGGGUGAGGUAGUAGGUUGUAUAGUUUUAGGGUCAUACCCUUCCUGUCAGAUAACUAUACAACUUACUGUCUUUCCUGAAGUGGCUGUAAUGUCAUCAGAUGCCGUUGUUGGAGCUUUUGGAUCUGGAUCAACACUGCAAUAUGCAUGUUUACUCACUGACUGCUAAGAACAUAACUCAUUUACAGCAUUUGAUAGUGGUAGGCAAUUUAGGAUUGUAGUUGCUUUACGUCGUUUUCUCAUGAUUUUCAUGGUUGUACUUUAAGACUUUAUGAUCAAUAAAAAACGGCAAAACUUAGUCAUUGUCUGUCAUUGUUAGUUGCUUUAGAUAUCAAGUGUGUUUAUCUUUAAAAUGUAAAAAAAUGUAUGAGGAUAUUUUAUAAGAAAAUGUACAGUGUUUAUAUCUGUCACUCCACCUUAAUGCGCUCCAGUACGAGUUGCACCCAAGCAUGCCAACCUGUACGACCUUUCUGAUGUUCGAACGGGAUGAGGUAGUAGGUUGUGUGGUUUCAGGGUAGUGAUUUUGCCCAAUCAGGAGAUAACUAUACAACCUACUGCCUUCCCUGAAGGGCAGCAAUACGUCACCAUACAGACGACAGGGGGCAUCUUGCUCACGGCAUCAGAAAAACUCCCAAAAUCAACAAACCUGCUCCCUGUCCACUUCUUACCUGGAACAUAGGCGCAACAGCCAAUCAUAGCAGCAGAGAGGAUCAGCAGGUAAAGUCUGUUCACUAUGGGAUUUGUCUUUGAUUUGUUUAUUCAAACUUUGUGUUUCAAAUUAAUAAAGAAUAAGGUAAUUCAUAAA